rnacentral:rRNA from 1 species
UGGAGAAUUUUCCGCAAUGGGCGAAAGCCUGACGGAGCAAUACCGCGUGAGGGAAGAAGGCUUUUGGGUCGUAAACCUCUUUUGUUAGGGAAGAACACUGACGGUACCUAACGAAUAAGCCUCGGCUAACUCCGUGCCAGCAGCCGCGGUAAGACGGAGGAGGCAAGCGUUAUCCGGAAUUAUUGGGCGUAAAGCGUCCGCAGGUGGCUAUUCAAGUCUGCUGUCAAAGCGCAGGGCUUAACUCUGUAGAGGCAGUGGAAACUGGAUAGCUAGAGUUCGGUAGGGGUAGAGGGAAUUCCAGGUGUAGCGGUGAAAUGCGUAGAUAUCUGGAAGAACACCAGUGGCGAAAGCGCUCUACUGGGCCUGAACUGACACUGAGGGACGAAAGCUAGGGGAGCGA